AUUGAACGCUGGCGGCAGGCCUAACACAUGCAAGUCGAACGGUAACAGGAAGCAGCUUGCUGCUUCGCUGACGAGUGGCGGACGGGUGAGUAAUGUCUGGGAAACUGCCUGAUGGAGGGGGAUAACUACUGGAAACGGUAGCUAAUACCGCAUAACGUCGCAAGACCAAAGAGGGGGACCUUAGGGCCUCUUGCCAUCGGAUGUGCCCAGAUGGGAUUAGCUAGUAGGUGGGGUAACGGCUCACCUAGGCGACGAUCCCUAGCUGGUCUGAGAGGAUGACCAGCCACACUGGAACUGAGACACGGUCCAGACUCCUACGGGAGGCAGCAGUGGGGAAUAUUGCACAAUGGGCGCAAGCCUGAUGCAGCCAUGCCGCGUGUAUGAAGAAGGCCUUCGGGUUGUAAAGUACUUUCAGCGGGGAGGAAGGGAGUAAAGUUAAUACCUAUGCUCAUUGACGUUACCCGCAGAAGAAGCACCGGCUAACUCCGUG
rnacentral:rRNA from 1 species